rnacentral:rRNA from 1 species
CAGCGCCGCGGGAAUACGUAGGGUGCGAGCGUUAAUCGGAAUUACUGGGCGUAAAGCGUGCGCAGGCGGUUCGUUAAGACAGAUGUGAAAUCCCCGGGCUUAACCUGGGAAUUGCAUUUGUGACUGGCGAGCUAGAGUAUGGCAGAGGGGGGUAGAAUUCCACGUGUAGCAGUGAAAUGCGUAGAGAUGUGGAGGAAUACCGAUGGCGAAGGCAGCCCCCUGGGCCAAUACUGACGCUCAUGCACGAAAGCGUGGGGAGCAAACAGGAUUAGAUACCCGGGUAGUCCCUGUCUCUUAUACA